GCCACUUAGGUUCAGUGGUUAGAGUCUAAGGCUAGUGAGCAAAAGGUUCCGGGUUCGAAUCUCACAAGAGGCA
rnacentral:tRNA from 1 species